GACGAACGCUGGCGGCGUGCCUAAUACAUGCAAGUAGAACGCACAGUUUAUACCGUAGCUUGCUACACCAUAAACUGUGAGUUGCGAACGGGUGAGUAACGCGUAGGUAACCUGCCUGGUAGCGGGGGAUAACUAUUGGAAACGAUAGCUAAUACCGCAUAAUAUUGAUUAUUGCAUGAUAAUUGAUUGAAAGAUGCUAUUGCAUCACUACCAGAUGGACCUGCGUUGUAUUAGCUAGUAGGUGAGGUAACGGCUCACCUAGGCGACGAUACAUAGCCGACCUGAGAGGAUGAUCGGCCACACUGGGACUGAGACACGGCCCAGACGCCUACGGGAGGCAGCAGUAGGGAAUCUUCGGCAAUGGACGAAAGUCUGACCGAGCAACGCCGCGUGAGUGAAGAAGGUUUUCGGAUCGUAAAGCUCUGUUGUAAGAGAAGAACGGGUGUGAGAGUGGAAAGUUCACACUGUGACGGUAGCUUACCAGAAAGGGACGGCUAACUACGUG
rnacentral:rRNA from 1 species